AUAUAAUUAGACUUAAUGGGUGCAUUCGUUUAUGCAGUGACUGCCGCAGAAUGCCGCAAAUGUCGUUCGUUUACUCCACCUGCGCAACCGACUGCAGCGCAGUUUGUUGUUCGUUUAAGCAGAGCUGCUGCCUAUCUGCGCAGCCAUCUCGGAGGUCCUGCUUAGGAUGCCUUGCUCGCAGUACUGCGGACUACUGCGUAAACGAAUGUAGUCUUCUCCAUUGUUAAGCCAAUUGAACUUGGAAACGUUGCCUGAAAAUUAUUUCAAUUAUGAGCAAAUAAUAUCGACGUCUAGUCGACGUCUAAUUUGAACUGAAAAAGUUAUAGACGUUAUUUACGUCUAAUCGACGUCGAUCCGAUUUCUUGUUUCUCCCUGGGAAUAGAUCCUACAAAACUAAAAGUAAUGCAAGUCAUUCCUAGCUAUCAAGCUACUUCGUCCCCAGUAAGUUUGGAAAAAUCUGAGAAGUCUACAUUCAGCAACAUUUCAAUCCUACCGUCAUCACUGUCUAAAAAUGUUAUGUGCACACGUCAUAUGUCAGAACCUUCAACCUAUUUAAAAAUUUUAUUAUAUUUAUUCAAAUAAUAAUUCAUAUUUAAUAUA